UUUUUCUAAUCGUAGAACGUGAUGGAAGUAUUAUAGCAUGUCAUACGAAAUUAUGGAAACGAAAAGAGUCAAAGCAUAUAAAAAAAACAGAUCUAUAUUAGCCUAUAAUGUCUCAGCUGAUGCGAAGCUGCUUGCGAUCAAUUUUCCCAAUAGGGAGUGAGACCAUAUGUGAUGGGGCAGAUCUUGGUUUUCUAUAUAAUGGCCCUGAGAAAAGUUUUUGGUCGUUUUCAAUCGUAUGAGACUGCUUGCCUUAGUGACUGCGUGAACACCGGAUUCCACAGGAGGAUAAGAAUAAGAAGAAGACGAAGGGAUAGAAGAAUCAAUAAGAGACAUAUCAAAUCGAUGAGAUUAAAAAGAAUUAGAAAAGAAGAAAGGAGGAGAUAAUGUGUCGGUUUUAGUUUUUUCUAAUGGGUAAAUAACCUUUAUCUUAUGUACUUUUUUGGAUUAUUAUACUAAGCAUUGUCAUUUUUCCUC